rnacentral:misc_RNA from 1 species
UCUUCCUCAUACGGGGCUCCUUGUUGCCAGGGGCGACAGAUGGACUGUUUUAUCUGAUAAGACCAGACUUUGAGAAGUUGAAAAGCCCCAACAUAUGGAUCGAAGCGUGUGGCUACGCCCUUCACUCCAUGGG